AUUGAACGCUGGCGGUAUGCUUAACACAUGCAAGUCGAACGAGUGGCGGACGGGUGAGUAAUGCAUAGGAAUCUACCUUUUAGUCUAGGAUAACUACCCGAAAGUGUGGCUAAUACUGGAUGCUAAGAUAUGAGCCUAUGUGGGAUUAGCUAGUUGGUGGGGUCAUGGCUCACCCAGGCGAAGAUUCCUAGCUGGUUUGGGAGGAUGGUCCGGCACACUGGGACUGAGAAACGGCCCAGAAUCCUACGGGAGGCAACAGGGGGGAAUAUUUGAAAAUGGGCGAAAGCCUGAUCCAGCAAUUCCGCGUGGGAGAAGAAGGCCCUAGGGUUGUAAAGCACUUUUGUUAGGGAGACGUUACCUAAAGAAUAAGCACCGGCUAACUCCGUGCCAGCAGCCGCAGUAAUAC
rnacentral:rRNA from 1 species